rnacentral:misc_RNA from 1 species
GAUGAAGAACGCAGCGAAAUGCGAUAAGUAGUGUGAAUUGCAGAAUUCAGUGAAUCAUCGAAUCUUUGAACGCACAUUGCGCCCCUUGGUAUCCCGAGGGGCAUGCCUGUUCGAGCGUCAUUUCACCACUCAAGCCUGGCUUGGUGUUGGGCGACGUCCCCUUUGGGGACGCGCCUCGAAACGCUCGGCGGCGCGGCACCGGCUUUAAGCGUAGCAGAAUCUUUCGCUUUGGAAGUCGGGGCCCCGUCUGCCGGAAGACCUACUCGCAAGGUUGACCUCGGAUCAGGCAGGGAUACCCGCUGAACUUAAGCAUAUCAAUAAGCGGAGGA